GCCAGGCAUCAGUCAUUUUUAGAGAUCUCAGGUGAUUUCAGUGCAGAGUAAAGCAUGGAAACCAUUUUAAGUAAAGCAAGCUGCUUCAUCUUUGAUUCCCCAGCUCCCCACCUUCCGACUUACCGGGGCUCUUCAUGCCGCCAUAUUUCUGGCCUGCCUCCUUCUUUGGGCUCUGAGCAUCUAAAUGGUAGAUUUAUGUAUUUUACCCCUUCUGCCUUGCACAUGGUAGGCCCUCAGUGAGUGUUAAAUGAUGAACAAAUGAAUAAAUAAGUGGGACAGGUUCAUGCCAUCUUGUGAUCUGAGCCUGGCCACAAUGCUUGCCCUUGGUUCAUGCCAUUUUCUUAAGUAUUUUUUUUCCUUCAAGCCACCUUGUACUGAGUACAAAGUGUAAAAAAGUUUAGGUUCUGGAGCCAGGGUGCCUUUGCCCAAAUCCUGGUUCCAUGGGAUCCAGUAUUUUCCAUCCUCUGCCACUGCCAGAAGGAUUUUUCUGAAGCACGUGUCCAGUUGAGAUGCUGCCCUCCAGCCCCAUAAUACAAUCCCAUGCCUUGUUUUCCUUACUCAUACUGUCAUCCUCUUUGUCUUG